CCUACGGGUGGCAGCAGUGGGGAAUAUUGGGCAAUGGGCGCAAGCCUGACCCAGCAACGCCGCGUGAAGGAAGAAGGCCUUCGGGUUGUAAACUUCUUUUAAGGGGGAAGAGCAGAAGACGGUACCCCUUGCAUCAGCCACGGCUCACUACGUGCCAGCAGCCGCGGUAAUACGUAGGUGGCAAGCGUUGUCCGGAUUUACUGGGUGUAAAGGGCGUGCAGCCGGAGAGACAAGUCAGAUGUGAAAUCCACGGGCUCAACCCGUGAACUGCAUUUGAAACUGUUUCCCUUGAGUGUCGGAGAGGUAGUCGGAAUUCCUGGUGUAGCGGUGAAAUGCGUAGAUAUAAGGAAGAACACCAGUGGCGAAGGCGGAUUACUGGACGGUAACUGACGGUGAGGCGCGAAAGCGUGGGGAGCAAACAGGAUUAGAUACCCGUGUAGUC
rnacentral:rRNA from 1 species